CAGUAGCCGCGGUAAUACAGAGGGUGCGAGCGUUAAUCGGAUUUACUGGGCGUAAAGCGUGCGUAGGCGGCUUUUUAAGUCGGAUGUGAAAUCCCUGAGCUUAACUUAGGAAUUGCAUUCGAUACUGGGAAGCUAGAGUAUGGGAGAGGAUGGUAGAAUUCCAGGUGUAGCGGUGAAAUGCGUAGAGAUCUGGAGGAAUACCGAUGGCGAAGGCAGCCAUCUGGCCUAACACUGACGCUGAGGUACGAAAGCAUGGGGAGCAAACAGGAUUAGAUACCCCUGUAGUCCCUGUCUCUUAUAA
rnacentral:rRNA from 1 species